rnacentral:lncRNA from 12 species
CGGCUUUAGGUUGUUUCAAUCCUUCUGGAACACGCCAGCCGAGCGCUCCAUGGGAAUAAAACAUUUGCUUCGUUUCUGCCUAAAGUCCUAGAAGAAUAUUCCAAGUCAAACUUGUGGGUAAGAGAAGAUGCUGAGUACCAGAAUGAGAAGAAGCUGACAUUACCUACUACAGAGACUUUAAGUCACUGGGUAAGGUGUCCUAAUGAGGGAUAAACAAGUACUACUCCAGAGAAGUGCCUCUUUCUGGAGAAAAAGCCUGAAAGAAGAAAAAUGAAAAUGGAAAAGUACACUGAGCUGCAAAAGGGUGAUUUCAGAAUGUGUGUUUAUGUUCCCAAGGAGGUCAGAAAACUAGGGAAUGGGGUAACUGUGUAAAUGUAAAUGCUAUUUUAACUGGAUAAUGGUGGUUCAUUUGUCCAUAAAGAAUAAUAGACCUGAUAUCAUAGAAACACACAUCUGCAUACCUUACUUUCACAUGUUUGAUCAAAAGUGAACCUAACCAACUCCCUACUGCAGAGCUCCACUUUUGCAAUAAUAA